AAGAAACCAACAGGGAUUGCCCUAGUAACGGCGAGUGAAGCGGCAACAGCUCAAAUUUGAAAGCUGGCUCUCGGGCCCGCAUUGUAAUUUGCAGAGGAUGCUUCUGGCGACGCGCCUUCCGAGUUCCCUGGAACGGGACGCCAUAGAGGGUGAGAGCCCCGUCCGGUCGUGCGCCUAGCCUCUGUGAAGCUCCUUCGACGAGUCGAGUAGUUUGGGAAUGCUGCUCAAAAUGGGAGGUAUACGUCUUCUAAAGCUAAAUACCGGCCAGAGACCGAUAGCGCACAAGUAGAGUGAUCGAAAGAUGAAAAGCACUUUGAAAAGAGAGUUAAAAAGUACGUGAAAUUGUUGAAAGGGAAGCGCUCAUGACCAGACUUGGGCUGGCCCGAUCAUCCGGCGUUCUCGCCGGUGCACUCGGGCCGCCCAGGCCAGCAUCAGCUUUCGCCGGGGGAUAAAGGCGGCGGGAAUGUGGCUCCCUCGGGAGUGUUAUAGCCCGCCGUGCAAUACCCUGGUGGGGGCUGAGGUUCGCGCGUAUGCACGGAUGCUGGCGUAAUGGUUAUCAGCGACCG
rnacentral:rRNA from 1 species